GAGCCAUGAUCCUCGAGGUUACGUAAGGGGAAAACGUAAUUGUGGGGAUAAACUGCCAAACUCCGGGGAACUCCUAAAGCUUAAGGUACCAAGCUAUAGUUGAAAAACUAUAAGUGGCUGAAGUAAUUACUCAGGUAUGGUAACAAGCCUUAAGAUUUGUGAAAACAAAAUGGACAAUCGCGGAUCUAAGUCAACAGUAUAUAAAAAUACUGUUGUAAAAGAGCAACGAGUAGACGGUAGUUGAUCUAUUAAUAAAAAUUUAAUAGGUUUAAGGUGUACUCUUACAGGUUUCGAAAGAAAUAG
rnacentral:ncRNA from 1 species